AUGGUCUGGGCUGUGGCUCUAGGUUGGUGUAUCUGGUGCCUUUUGCCAUGACCAAGAGUAAUCACCAGGUUUGACCCUUAGCUGGGCCAGCCUGAGCAGUAACAGGUGUGGGCAUCUAACAGCAGCUUGCUGCCCAUGUAUAAUACUGCAUACAGUU